UGGGGAAUAUUGCACAAUGGAGGGAACUCUGAUGCAGCGACGCCGCGUGAGUGAUGAAGGAAUUCGUUUCGUAAAACUCUGUUCUAUGGGAAGAAAAGGACUGUACCAUAGGAGAAAGCUCCGGCUAAAUACGUGCCAGCAGCCGCGGUAAUACGUAUGGAGCGAGCGUUGUCCGGAAUUAUUGGGCGUAAAGGGUGCGCAGGCGGCUUUACAAGUUGGAUGUGAAAUAUUGUGGCUCAACCACAAACGUGCAUCCAAAACUGCAAAGCUUGAGUUAAGGAGAGGUAAGUGGAAUUCCAGGUGUAGCGGUGGAAUGCGUAGAUAUCAGGAGGAAUACCGGUGGCGAAGGCGACUUACUGGACUUAAACUGACGCUCAGGCACGAAAGCGUGGGGAGCAAACAGG
rnacentral:rRNA from 1 species